CAGCCGUAAACGAUGCGCGUUAGGUGUAUCGACGACCACGAGUCGUCGAGGUGCCGAAGGGAAACCGUGAAACGUGCCGCCUGGGAAGUACGGUCGCAAGGCUGAAACUUAAAGGAAUUGGCGGGGGAGGCACCACAACGGGUGGGAGCCUGCGGGUUUAAUUUGGACUCAACGCCGGGAAGCUCACCGGAUAAGACAGCGGAAUGAUUGCCGGGCUGAAGACUCUGCAUGACUAGCUGAGAGGAGGUGCAUGGCGUAGACGUCU
rnacentral:rRNA from 1 species